UACGAAGGGGGCUAGCGUUGCUCGGAAUUACUGGGCGUAAAGGGCGCGUAGGCGGACAUUUAAGUUAGAGGUGAAAGCCCAGGGCUCAACCCUGGAAUAGCCUUUAAUACUGGAUGUCUUGAGUUCGGGAGAGGUGAGUGGAAUGCCGAGUGUAGAGGUGAAAUUCGUAGAUAUUGGGAAGAACACCGGUGGCGAAGGCGGCUCACUGGCUCGUAACUGACGCUCAUGCACGACAGCGUGGGGAUCAAACAGG
rnacentral:rRNA from 1 species